AUUGAACGCUGGCGGCAUGCUUUACACAUGCAAGUCGAACGGUAACAGGCCGCAAGGUGCUGACGAGUGGCGAACGGGUGAGUAAUGCAUCGGAACGUGCCCAGUCGUGGGGGAUAACUACUCGAAAGAGUAGCUAAUACCGCAUACGAUCUAUGGAUGAAAUCGGGGGACCGUAAGGCCUCGCGCGAUUGGAGCGGGCGAUGUCAGAUUAGGUAGUUGGUGGGGUAAAGGCUCACCAAGCCAACGAUCUGUAGCUGGUCUGAGAGGACGACCAGCCACACUGGGACUGAGACACGGCCCAGACUCCUACGGGAGGCAGCAGUGGGGAAUUUUGGACAAUGGGCGCAAGCCUGAUCCAGCAAUGCCGCGUGCAGGAAGAAGGCCUUCGGGUUGUAAACUGCUUUUGUACGGAACGAAACGGCUCUGGUUAAUACCCGGGGCUAAUGACGGUACCGUAAGAAUAAGCACCGGCUAACUACGU
rnacentral:rRNA from 1 species